GACCUGCGGAGGGAUCAUUGCUGGAAUUCGUCCCUCGUGGCGUACCCAGAAACCCUUUGUGAACUCAUACCUUUUGUCGUUGCCUCGGCGCUGGCUGGGGGGCAUCAUCGCCCCUCCCACUGCUUGCAGUGGAGCAGGCCCGCCGGCGGCCCUUACAAACUCUUGUUUUUAGAACCUGUUUCUCUGAGCAACCAGCCUAAACGGCAAAAAUGAAUCAAAACUUUCAACAACGGAUCUCUUGGUUCUGGCAUCGAUGAAGAACGCAGCGAAAUGCGAUAAGUAAUGUGAAUUGCAGAAUUCAGUGAAUCAUCGAAUCUUUGAACGCACAUUGCGCCCGCUGGUAUUCCAGCGGGCAUGCCUGUUCGAGCGUCAUUUCACCCCUCAAGCAUCCGUGCUUGGUGUUGGGGCAGAGCCCUGUUACAGGGGCUCGCCCUGAAAUUUAGUGGCGUGCUCGCUAAAACUCCGAGCGUAGUAAUUUUUUCUCGCUUUGGUUGGAUUAGCGGUGCUUAGCCGUAAAACCCUCUAUAAUUUCUGAAAGUUGACCUCGGAUCAGGUAGGAAUACCCGCUGAACUUAAGCAUAUCAAUA
rnacentral:rRNA from 1 species